GUUUUUUUGAAAAUGUGUAAUUUUCUUUUAAUAAAAUGUAGAUUAGAAACCGUAAACUCCCUAAAAACAAACGAUUCUUUGGAGUUCCAGUAGCUUAGAUGCGUACAUAACUGGUAUAUGAUGAUGAGAUGUCGAGCCGGAACAUAAUCAAACAUGGACCUAUUAAAACCCCAUACGUUUCUGAUGUCGACAAUGUCAUAACCAUAACCACAAUGGAUCGAAACUACAGCAAGGAUGACGACUCCGAAGGAAUGUUAUCCGGCAGAUUCGCUCAUGUCGUUAGCCGCACAAAUCUUCGAAUCAACAUAAAAUUUAUCAGGCAGUUUAUGUGGCCGACGCAAGUCAUAGAUGUCAUUGGGGAUAAGUUCCCUGAUAAAUGAAAUAUAUAAAAAAUAAAGUGUAGUGAAACAAUUAUUACCUAAA